rnacentral:rRNA from 1 species
GACGUAGGGGACAAGCGUUAUUCGGAAUUACUGGGCGUAAAGGGCAUGUAGGCGGCCUGAUAAGCCUGGCGUGAAAGUCCACAGCUUAACUGUGGGAUUGCGUCGGGAACUGUUGGGCUUGAAUCACGGAGAGGGAGCUAGAAUUCCUGGUGUAGGGGUGAAAUCUGUAGAGAUCAGGAAGAAUACCAGUGGCGAAGGCGAGCUCCUGGCCGAUGAUUGACGCUGAGGUGCGAAAGUGUGGGGAUCAAACAGG